CAGCCAAAGUGACUCAGGU
rnacentral:miRNA from 1 species